rnacentral:rRNA from 1 species
AUUGAACGCUGGCGGCAUGCCUUACACAUGCAAGUCGAACGGCAGCGGGGGAGAAGCUUGCUUUUCCUGCCGGCGAGUGGCGAACGGGUGAGUAAUACAUCGGAACGUGCCCUGUAGUGGGGGAUAACUAGUCGAAAGAUUAGCUAAUACCGCAUACGACCUGAGGGUGAAAGUGGGGGACCGCAAGGCCUCAUGCUAUAGGAGCGGCCGAUGUCUGAUUAGCUAGUUGGUGGGGUAAAGGCCUACCAAGGCGACGAUCAGUAGCUGGUCUGCGAGGACGAUCAGCCACACUGGGACUGAGACACGGCCCAGGCUCCUACGGGAGGCAGCAGUGGGGAAUUUUGGACAAUGGGCGAAAGCCUGAUCCAGCAAUGCCGCGUGUGUGAAGAAGGCCUUCGGGUUGUAAAGCACUUUUGUCCGGAAAGAAAUGGCUCUGGUUAAUACCUGGGGUCGAUGACGGUACCGGAAGAAUAAGGACCGGCUAACUACGUGCCAGCCGCCGCGGUAAUAC